rnacentral:rRNA from 1 species
AGAGUUUGAUCAUGGCUCAGGACGAACGCUGGCGGCGUGCUUAACACAUGCAAGUCGAACGAUGAUCUCGGCCCGUGUAGAAAUACACAGUGCUGGGUGAUUAGUGGCGAACGGGUGAGUAACACGUGGGCAACUUGCCCUCCACUCUGGGAUAACUCCGGGAAACCGGGGCUAAUACCGGAUAUGAUCUGGGGUCGCAUGGCUUCGGGUGGAAAGUUUUUCGGUGGAGGAUGGGCCCGCGGCCUAUCAGCUUGUUGGUGGGGUGAUGGCCUACCAAGGCGGUGACGGGUAGCCGGCCUGAGAGGGCGACCGGCCACACUGGGACUGAGACACGGCCCAGACUCCUGCGGGAGGCAGCAGUGGGGAAUAUUGCGCAAUGGGCGGAAGCCUGACGCAGCGACGCCGCGUGAGGGAUGACGGCCUUCGGGUUGUAAACCUCUUUCAGCAGGGACCAAGGGUGACUGAGUGUACCUGCAGAAGAAGCACCGGCUAACUACGUGCCAGCAGCCGCGGUAAUACGUAGGGUGCGAGCGUUGUCCGGAUUUAUUGGGCGUAAAGGGCUCGUAGGCGGCCUGUCGCGUCGGGAGUGAAAGCCCACUGCUUAACGGUGGGUCUGCUUCCGGUACGGGCGGGCUGGAGUAUGGCAGGGGAGACUGGAAUUCCUGGUGUAGCGGUGGAAUGCGCAGAUAUCAGGAGGAACACCGGUGGCGAAGGCGGGUCUCUGGGCCAUUACUGACGCUGAGGAGCGAAAGCGUGGGGAGCGAACAGGAUUAGAUACCCCUGUAGUCC